AUUGAACGCUGGCGGCAUGCCUUACACAUGCAAGUCGAACGGUAACGGGCCUUCGGGUGCCGACGAGUGGCGAACGGGUGAGUAAUACAUCGGAACGUGCCCGAUCGUGGGGGAUAACGAGGCGAAAGCUUUGCUAAUACCGCAUACGAUCUACGGAUGAAAGCAGGGGACCGCAAGGCCUUGCGCGGACGGAGCGGCCGAUGGCAGGUUAGGUAGUUGGUGGGAUAAAAGCUUACCAAGCCGACGAUCGUUAGCUGGUCUGAGAGGAUGAGUAGCCACACUGGGACUGAGACACGGCCCAGACUCCUACGGGAGGCAGAAGUGGGGAAUUUUGGACAAUGGGCGCAAGCCUGAUCCAGCCAUGCCGCGUGCAGGAUGAAGGCCUUCGGGUUGUAAACUGCUUUUGUACGGAACGAAAAGCCUUCUUUUAAUACAGGAGGGUCAUGACGGUACCGUAAGAAUAAGCACCGGCUAACUACGUG
rnacentral:rRNA from 1 species